rnacentral:miRNA from 1 species
UGUAAAGUAGGAGCUGACUGAC